CUUCAUGUCCCGCUGUGGGAGGGGCUCUGGAGCGCCGGGACUGUGAGAUGGCCAAUGACGGUCUGACCCGUUGGGCCGGGCCAGGUCGCGGACAACGUCGACCGUUUGUUUAAGAAGCGUGGACUCUUGUCCUGAGUGCACCGAGGCUUUCAGCCUGCGGGACAGUGGUGCGAUUUGCAUUAGAGAAAGGGAGAUGCCAUGUGCUGGCCCAGCACUCCAACAGGGGCCUGACCUCUAGGAACGGGACACUGGAGGAAGCCUAGACAUCUGAACAAAUCAAGUCAUCCAGAUCCACGGUCAGCUCCUGCCCCGACUUGGCCUUCCUCCUGCUGGGCUGGCCCACGGACCUCGGGAACCUGCCCUGGCUGUGGGUGACCUGCAGGUACUGGUCAGCGCUGCUGUUCUGCUGGUCACUGCUGGAUGCUGCCGACACGGAGUCAGAUUCCGUGAGGGAUGGCUCGAACCUGGGCUUCCCUCUGGGCUUCAGAGGGGGCUGUGGGUAUUGGAAAUUCCGGGAUCGUGGCUUUCUGGGCACAUAGGCUGGCCUCUCAAGGUGACCCUCAAAAUCUUCAUUCCACGACUUGUAGUGCACCCUCCCCUGGUGCUCGGGAUCCCGGGUCUGACUUUCGGACCUCUCCCCAAUAUAAAAAUGAGGAGCCCGACGGAGGUCUAUCAGGGAGCGUGGGGGAAGAGACCGUUUGAUCCAAUCUCUGCUUGGCGUCUCCUCCUCUUCUUCACUCAGCUGUGGGGAG
rnacentral:lncRNA from 1 species